AGGGAAUCUUCCGCAAUGGACGAAAGUCUGACGGAGCAACGCCGCGUGAGUGAUGAAGGUUUUCGGAUCGUAAAGCUCUGUUGCCAGGGAAGAACGUCCGUUAGAGUAACUGCUAACGGAGUGACGGUACCUGAGAAGAAAGCCCCGGCUAACUACGUGCCAGCAGCCGCGGUAAUACGUAGGGGGCGAGCGUUGUCCGGAAUUAUUGGGCGUAAAGCGCGCGCAGGCGGCUGUUUAAGUCGGGUGGUUAAGCCUGGGGCUCAACCCCGGGUCGCACUUGAAACUGGACAGCUUGAGUGCAGAAGAGGAGAGUGGAAUUCCACGUGUAGCGGUGAAAUGCGUAGAGAUGUGGAGGAACACCAGUGGCGAAGGCGACUCUCUGGGCUGUAACUGACGCUGAGGCGCGAAAGCGUGGGGAGCAAAC
rnacentral:rRNA from 1 species